CAACCACUAAACUGUAUACCUUUCUCAAAUGCCUCAGCUUCUGAGAACUUCUAGAAAAAGCAGAUCUCUAAAAACUCAAAAGCUGGUCUUUUCUUAACACUUCAAGCACAGAGACUCCAAAAGACGAAGGAGAAAUCUUGUAAAAAUUAAGUACUAGUUGAUCCCAAAGUUAAGUUCUCUACUUCUCUUCAACAUCAUCAUGCUUCACUUAUAACAACAGCUCCCAUAGAACAUUCUUCAUUUCCAAACAAAAGAUUCUUCACUACUUGACUCUUUAACAUUCUUUUCGACCAAUAAGCUAAAGCAAUAUUUUCAAGAGGGCUUCAAUCAAAUGUGGGGCUUGGUCUUGUUUUAACUUCAAGCCAACAUACCCCCUGGGGAAACCACUCCAACAUUUAAUUUACGAUG